rnacentral:lncRNA from 1 species
UUCCCCCCGCUCCUGCCCCCUCUUUUCUCUCUCUUUCUUCCUACUUGUAUUGCUGUUCCUAGAUCAUAUAUACUUUCCAUUAUUAUGUUGUUACUUGUUAGGCAUGAGAAUUAGAGAAUAAGACUGUUGUUUGUGUUUCAGGGCAACCUUUGUCGGUCUCGCUUAUGGAUAUGCUACAAUUUUAUCCUCUAGCGUUGCAGUUCCCAUGGCUUCUCAUGCAGUGAACAACCUGAUUGGAGGGCUAUUAUGGCGUUACACAUCAAAUACAUCGAAGCAGAAAUGAAAAAUUGUCAUCUUCAUAGAUACGUCACCACCACAUCUAUGUUUUGCAACCUCCUCCCUGGGGUUUGAUGUAAUGUGUACAAACAUUAUGAUGCAGAAAUUCAGAUCACAAGAGGCCAUUCCAUGAGGUUCGUUUGCAAUUUGCAAAUGCAGCAACUAAUUUAGCGGCACUGCUUUCUCCGCCAUUUUCAAGGAAAAAUUCAAGCUUGUAUAUUACUUACAGAUUAUAGAUUUUUUUCUGUUAUAAAUCUAUUGAAAAAUAUGUUUUGGAAUUUACUUACCGUAAAUAGAUAACUGUAAUUUUGUAAUGUAAGUGGGGUUGCUUGGGUUGGUUAUUACCUAUUUGGAUUUUGGUUUGUGACUUCCAUUUUUGGAAUAUGACCUUAUUGACUUAGGAUUAAACCUUUGUUUUUGUUACCCUUUGAAGGAAUAUUACUCUAAAAAUAAAAUGGCAAACAGAACAAACAGAAAACCAAAGCACCCGCGUUUAAGACGAGUUGUCCAUCCUUCUCCCUAUUCCUCACCUCUUUAUAAAAUGCAACAUUCCAACCUGUUUUUUUAUUCAUUCAAUUCAUCUCAACCUCUUCUCUUCCUUCUUUUUUCCUUCUCAUCUUCUUUGUUGUCUAUUCCUCUUUCCCAGAAGUUUGGGUAACCACCACAUAUCUCAAAGCUUCAACCUAUGGCUUCGGUAAGAUCCUUCACACCAUUUCAUUUUCCAAUCGUUGAUGUAAUGAUUUUGCAGUGAUUCUUGUUUAUGAUGAUGUGUAUUUAUUUUUUUCUGCCAUUUCUGUGAAGAGAUGAAUCAAUGUGAAUUUAUAAAUUAUGCAUUUGCAGUAUGAAAACCAAGGAAAGCCUCUACCCAAGUUCGGGGAAUGGGAUGUGAAUGAUCCUGCCUCAGCUGAAGGAUUCACUGUUAUAUUCAACAAGGCCAGAGAUGAGAAAAAAACUGGUGGAGGAGGAUCCCAGCGCAUUACGUCGCAACGAAGAUCCGAUUCGCGCAAGGAUGAUGAUAAAUCUUCCAAGGUAUGUACAUAUCAAUUAUAGGUGUUUAUAUAUUUUAUUUCAAUAAUGAUAUUUGAACAUACAGACUACGCAAACACUCAAUAGACACCUUAUUUUUCCAAUAGACACCUGAUUUCUCGCUCUGGGUUGGGUGUUUGUUAGAUGUCUCCACUAUGUGAAUGUCUACAAAUCACUUUCGAUUUCCUUUCUGCAAUAACAAUAACAAUUAUGCCUAUUAUGAAGCUGAACAUGUUAUUGUGCAUGAAUGUUUUGUUACAGAAAAAGUGGUUUUGCUUUAAACCUUAAACAAGGAUGAUGUCUGUUAUGCUGCUUGGGACGGAUAACAUGAUUCUCUUCAGUUUUCUUCAGAGGCCACAUUUGUUGCCAGAUCACUGAUUAGAGAUGAUGAAAAGAAUGAAAAUAGUUGCAGCCUGCUGGAAUCCCUGGUUUAACUUCUAGUUGUUUCCUUGUUUUCUACCCUUCGCCACCUAAUUCAUACAUUUAAUUAAUGGAUUUAGCUACUUGUACGCACCAGCCCCAAAAGCAAAUAUGUAAAUAGGUGUAUCAAUGACUAUUUUAUUAUGCAAUUACAGAGAGGAGAUAAAUGAGUUUUUAUUAUAUUCAUGAAUCAUGAUGUUGAUGCGCUCAACUAGGGGAUUUUGGUCUUUCGAUUCUUUUAGCUCAUGCCAUGUUUGUAGGAGGGGCGUCUUCUAUUUAAAUAUGGCCAAUUACAACUGGAAUUGUUGUUGAAUGAAGACAAGAAGUAGUUCUCUGCACCAGAAGCAUAUUGCUAACCAUGUUUGGUUGAAAACUUGCAAUAGAUGGUAUAGUAUAUGCAUCGAAAUUAGAAUGCAUGUUUAUUAUGUAAUAAGACUUUUCUAUAAAAUUGAUACAAUGCAAUGUCUUUUAACACUAAUUUGACAAAAUAAAUCACAGAAGAAAAGGCAGAAUGAUGUAUAAACAUCAUUACUUAUUACUCCAUUUGGGUGAAUACUAAUGUAAAACUAACUAAGAAAUACACGGUUUUCAAGACAAAAUGUGAAUGAGAGUUAAGCUAGUCUUUUGACUCUUUACCAAUGAUUGGUGAAACUCCUCUUCAAAAUUGAGAGAAUUUUUAGGUGAUGAAAAAUUAGUUAUGAUUUAUAUAUUUGUUGACUAAUUUUUCUAUCUACCACAAACUUAUUUGUUUUUAUGUGAUUUUUAUAUCACAAUAUACUAUACAGUCUCAAUUUCAUUUUUUUAUUCAUUGCAUUUAACUUUCUUUUUCAUCCAAUUUCCUUUAAUUUUUUCUUUCAUUUCUCUCUUCUAUUCAAAUAGAGUAUUGCUAUAUGGCACUACAUUUCUUGAGCACGAUUACCACGACCCAAUAUAUUCAAUCAUUGACGAAAAUCAUGUUGGGUGUAUGAGUGAGAAAAAGAUGAUUUUACAGAUAAUCUAACGGUGGACAAUUAGUCGUUCAUGGUCGUGUGAUAAAUCAGUAGUGUCAAAAAUCAUUUCCCCUUCAAAUAACACCACUCAUCGUAUCUCUAAUUUCUCUUACUUCUCCCUAUGUCUUUGUGGUUGUGGGUAAAAAUGAAGUAUCAACUAAACAUUUUAUCUUUUCAUAACGGUUUUUCCUCUAUUUCUAUCUUCCACCAUCUUUAUUUGGUUGAAGUAGUUUGAGAAGAGAAAAAGAUGAUGAAGAGAGUUAGAGAAGAGAUAGGGGAGACAACCUUGUGUUGUAGUUGUAGAAGGGAGGGGGAGAGAAAGACGUGAGGGGGUGGGCCUCACCACCUUAAAGGUUCUCUACAAAUUGGGGAGAAAAGAUGUGUAUACAUUUGUUUAUAUUUUUUAAAUUUUCCCUACCAACAAAUUUUUAUUUAAUACUUAAUCUGAUAAAAUUGUCUUUAAACACAAAAAGAAACUUUGUCUUCUCCAUCUUAUUUAUCUUUCUAUCUAUUUCUCUCCUUUUUAUUUUUCUUCUAAAAUCAAACAAAUCAUUAGUGAAUAUAUAUAUAUAUAUAUAUAUAUAUAUGAGAUUAAAUUAUUAACUUUAUUUUGAUAUAAUAUUUGACACCUUACCUUUAGAUAAUAAUAAUAAUAAUAAUAAUAAUAAUAAUAAUAAUAAUAAGAAUGAAGUUAGUCAUGAGAAUGAUGGUGUUGACAAAGGAAACACUAUUUGAUCUGAACAUUUAGAUGCAAAGAAGUUGCAAGUGUUGAUGGGCACCAAGAAGAAGAAUUGGAAGUCAGACGCGAGUACAUAGAAAAGGAAUCAAGACCACUUUUACCUCAUGUAUCUGUAAAAAGCAAUUUGCUACCUAUUGAUUUAGUAAACCACAUUUAUGAAUUCCAAAUAUUGUGCAUUAGAUUGAGGUUUAUUUAGAUUUUUUGAACUGCCUAUGUUUUAAAUGUGGAGUUGUGCAUUCAGAUAGUAUCGGAAGCUAUGGGUGCCUUAGAGAGACCAUGGAUAAAAUUGGCUAUGAUUAAAUUUGAAGGACUCUCAACUAAGGGUUUGAGACUAAAAUCUAGGGUGCCGGUGAAAUAUCUAUCGCCAAUCAUCAUUGCACAAUCCAUUGGGGAUAUUUUAGCUUUUAAGGGCAAAGGGCUUGAUACUAGCGCACACGUGUCCUAGAAUGAGCCGUUGGUUUGCAGUCCUUAGAUGUUAGACAACACUGAUGUUGUUGAUGGCAACAUGAGGCUGGAUUCUUUAUAUUGAUGGACGUAGAUAAUAUCAAUGAGCUUGGCUCCAAAAUUCUUGCAUCCUAUCAUGCUAAUUCUUUUAACUUUAUGCAUAGGAUUUUAAAGGAAGAAAUGAGACAAGGAAAAGGCUGGGAUAAAAUUUAUGAGCCUUUUGAACCCCAUAGCCUUUUGAGCCUAUGAGCCUUAUAUAAGUCGAGAGAGUGUUUGUCUUGCCAAAGCAAAAAAAUUACACCUAUGAAUCUGAUGUAAGAAAGAGCAAUGAUAAUGAAUAUGAUGAGCGUAUUAUUGAAGUAUUUUUAAGUUCAAAUUUAAGUAUGUAAUGCCAAAUUGAUGGAUUAUAGUUGGAUACAUGGCAUUACCUUUUUUCACUGUUGGUGGAACUACUUAAACAAAUUUAUAUUAAGUUAUUUGAAUAAAUUCAUUAGUGAAGUAAUUUAGAAGCUGUACGUAGCACUCUCCUCUUUCUCUUUUUCACGGUCAGUUGUACGUAGCACGCUCUAGAGUACGAUCAAAGAGGGGACAUUAAAUUUGUAUAUUGUGUGAUGCAAGAAACAUACAAACUUCUACCUUAAAUGUAAUGUAUAAGGAAGUUUUUUGUAAUGUUUGUUGUAUUUUUUUUGGUGCAUAGGAAAACUAAUAUUUGUUGUAUUAAACGAACAUGUAUUUACUUAUUCUUUUUUACUAAAUAAAUUAUCCAGUAUAUGUAUUGGAAAUUUUUACUAUUAAACAACAUAACUAACAUGUAAGAUACAUACUAACACGUUUUCUUCAACAAUAAAAAAGAUACAUACUAUCACAAUUUAUAUAAAUUUAAGUUAAAUCAUUCAUAUAUAUAAAAAAAUGAACAAUUUAUAAUUUCCGUGCAACGCACGGGUCAUCACACUAGUUUUUUAAAUUUUCCCUACCAACAAAUUUUUAUUUAAUACUUAAUCUGAUAAAAUUGUCUUUAAACACAAAAAGAAACUUUGUCUUCUCCAUCUUAUUUAUCUUUCUAUCUAUUUCUCUCCUUUUUAUUUUUCUUCUAAAAUCAAACAAAUCAUUAGUGAAUAUAUAUAUAUAUAUAUAUAUAUAUAUAUGAGAUUAAAUUAUUAACUUUAUUUUGAUAUAAUAUUUGACACCUUACCUUUAGAUAAUAAUAAUAAUAAUAAUAAUAAUAAUAAUAAUAAUUACAUCUUUGUUUUAUGAUAAGAACGUGAAAGCGCAAGGAGGAUGUAGGUCAAGUUAAUUUCGCAUAAUCACCAAUGCAUGGUUAUUUUCUCCUUGUCCUACUCUUUCCUUAUCGCCAAUCAUCUUAACAAUGGAAGCUUCAGGAGUUAAAAACAAUUGCGCGCUAAAGAAACUUAUCCUUGAAUGAAACAACAAAACAAUGAAGAUUGGAAUUAAAAAAAGCUCUAGAGGGAUUGGAUGGGAGGGGGCGGUGCUGAAGAGGGGCAAUAAUUAAUGUUAUCGAAUGGCAAUUAAUGCUCGUGAACUAUAGCAUAAUGCAGGCAAGCAUUCAUGAGGAAUAUAUGUCUUUAGAUUAGCUAUGAAGCAAAAAUACACGUAAUAUCAUGUAUCUCAAGACAUUAAUAAAAAGUUGGAAUUUAUCGUGUGUUAAUCGACAUUACGCUUUUAAGUUAUUUGUACUCCAUCUGCCUAUGUAGUUGUUCAGUGAUUCUUAAUAUGUUUUUUUUUUAAAUUAUGCGAUAAUUUCUAUCAAAUUAGUGAAAUUACACAUUUUAACCCUCGUGUUAUGUUGUAAUAUGACUACACUAAAAGCAGUAUCUAGAACUGUGCCUAAAUUUUAUCCUAAUGAAAAUCUUCCACUACAAAAAUUCGGAGGUCUAGCAACGGUGAUUUAACGGUGGUUAAAAAAACAUACCGUCGGUCUUUGAAGUGUCCCAUAUACCUUCAAUUUUUUAAAUUCUUUCGUGUUACAAUUCACAACAAGAGUACUUAUAUUUAUCUAAGAAAAUCUUUUGCAGUAGUUUAUGUUUAUUUUACGUACUUUUUUUUUAUAAAUAUUACUAAUUAGUAAUUAUUAACUUCAUUUUCUGAAGAAUCAAAAAAGUAAUUAUUAACUUCAAACAAGCACAUUAAGUGAUACAUAGACACAUAAUCAAACAUUGUACGUGGCAAUUUACCAUCCUCAUUCAAUCUUUCUCCCUUCAUCAAUUUAGUUAUUGCAUACAUUUCAAUACGAGUCCUAGUGAGGGAUAUGAUUGAGAAGGGAUCCUCUGUGAUAUAGGCAACCCCCUUACUUUUUGUACACACUUUUAAUUCUAUCAACUGUAUAUAUUAAUAGCUAUAAUUUAGUUACAUUUUUAGGUAACCUACAGUUUAAUUUUACCAAAUCAUUAUUGCUUCUAUUUCCCAUUUUUGGGUAUACAAAUUAAUUAUAUAUAUAUAUACAAAUUAAUUUAGUCAUAUAUAUAUAUUCCAUUUAUGAUUUGUUAGGUGCAUGUAGCUCUCCCCCAUAUAUAUCAUAAUAUUUAACGCCAACCAUCCCCUCCUCACUUUCCCUCAUCUUCCAAACUAGCUAAGAAGACACGUAGAAAGAAAGCUACUCUACAAGUAGAAAACCCACUCCAAGAAAGAGAAAUAUGCUUCCCAUAACAUGCAGCAGCCUGCACUUCCCAGCACCACUGCUCAUCAUCAUCAUCUCAUGCCUCGGUUUAAUCGUCAUCCUCAACCACCUCAUCUCCCUCUUCAAGUGGAUCUUCCACACGUGUUUCAGGCCUGAGACCGACCUCGCCGGAACCUACGGCUCGUGGGCUCUGGUCACCGGCGCCACGGAUGGCAUCGGAAAAGCCAUGGCCCACGAGCUCGCCCGGAAAGGCCUCAAUCUCAUCCUCGUCAGCAGAACUGCCAAGAAGCUCGAAAUGGUUGCAUGCGAGAUCCGAGAUAAGCACCCUGGCACCCGCAUUGAGACCAUCCAGGUCAGUGAAAGACUCAGCUCCAUUAGAAACUAUCACUAUGGAACAAGAAAAAUAUAGUACGUUUACAAUUAAAAUAGUUUCUUUGAAAAAUUAAUUUUAACACAUAAGAAACAUAUUAUAAAUAUCAUGUACUAAAUGUUAGUAGCUAGUAAAAAAAUGACUAGUGGAAUUGUCAAUUUUGAUCCUUUCUAAUUAUUCAAUUUUACUUAGUAUUUUAAUUUUCUCUCCCUUACUCAAAUUUUCUGGUUCCAUCCUUGGUUUAGGUGGAUUUCUCCGGUGAGUUCUCAGCGGGGCUCCGGCGGAUUACGGAGGUGGCAAUGGAGCUGGAUCUUGGUGUUCUGAUCAACAAUGUUGGGGUCACGUAUCCGGGGGCGAUGUUCUUCCACGAGGUGGAGGAGGAGGUGUGGAGGAACCUUGUGAGGGUUAACAUUGAAAGCACAACGAGAGUGACGAAAGCUGUUUUAUGUGGAAUGUUACAGAGGAAGAGGGGUGCCAUUGUUAACAUUGGUUCUGGUGCUGGGGUGGUUGCGCCUUCACACCCUCUCUUUACGAUCUAUGCAGCAACAAAAGCGUAAGUUUUCUCACUGCACCUUCCUCAUUCAUUACUUUGUCUUUGCAUGUUCAUAUAUAGCAAGACUACUAUACACAAUAAAUUGUAAUAAAAGCACUUUUACCUAAAAGGAUAGUUUUAUUUAUAAAUUCUAUUUUCUAGGCAUUUAGACAACUUCUAAGAGGAUAAUUUUAUUAUACAUUCUAGGUUUUAAAGAUCAAACAUGAUAAAGUACUAAAAUUUACUUUUUUUAUGGUUUAAAAAUAAUUAUACAUAUAAUAUACACAAACAUUCAAUUGUAUUUCACUAUUUUAACACAUAUAUAUUUAAGUUAAAAAUAAUUAAAAAAUAUAAUAUAAAUAAAGUGCAGUGAAAUUGACAGGGAGAGACACUAAAGUGCAACCCGUGAUGCAUUACGGGACACGUCAAAAACUGGAGAGUUCUGACUCUAGGCACCCUCCACUCCAGACUUGUAACUGAUGAUCACAAAAAAGAAAUAAAACAGUUAUGCAUCACUCUCUUUUUAACUGUGCAUUAAUUCCUCACGGGACAGUUUAUUAAUAUGUAGAUGAUGAACAAUAAUUAUUUAUUCACACCUCAAAAUGAUGUGGAAUGAGGUGGAGGAAGAGAGAUAGGAAGAAAAGAAAAAGUAAGAGUGAGAAAAUAUAAGAUGUGAUAGAUGAUAAGAGGAGAGAGAUAGAAAUAAAAAUAUGUGAAAAUAAAAUGUAUAAAAAAAGAGAUGUAUCAUUACCCGAUGAUGAAAUGAUUGAGAGUGAGACAUCGAGUUUAGUACUAUCAUUUUGGCCUAUAUUUUUAUGAUUUAAAAGUUUUCAAUUAUAAUUUUUUACAGUGGAAAGAUAAAAUACAUUUUUAAGGGAUUGAUCCCUUAAAAUUUACCUCUCUCGUUUAUAUAUUUCUCAGCUUUUACCACUUGAGCUAUCAUUCGGAGAUAAUUGUUAAUCUUAAUUUAUUAAUUAAAUAAAUAUUAUCUAUAUUUAUAUAGGCUAAAAUUAAAGUUUAACUAUAUAAAUUAAUUCAAAAACUUUCUAAAAUGAUUUUGAACUGAUUUAGAUAAAGUCAUUAUUCACUUGAUGAAUAAAAGUGGGUUUGCAUGCGCACAUUGAAGUAAGUUAGCACAAUAAGAUCAAUUGUAGGAUGUUUUUUUGUGAAAAGUGGAUCAAAUGGAUUGAGGGUUGCUUGACGUUGGUUUCAUUCUCAAUUUCGAUGAACAGAAGCUCGUGCGAUGAAUUCUUCAUAUCCCUGUAAAAGGGAUUAGACAAUGUGACUCAUUAGCUCUGUUCUUAUUCUUAAUUAAUAGUGGCUAAGGUAUUGAGUUACCUAUUUAUUUUUGUUGUACAUCGGAUUUCAAUUCUGCUAUGUAAUAAAACAAUCAUGUCUUCAAUCCAAUCCUCUUCAACAUUGUGAUUGACUCCCAUAAUUUGGUUCUUAAAAAAAAUCACUAUAUUAUAUAAGGCCAGAGAUUCUUUCAAAGCAUCUUAAAAUACUUUUAACAGCCCAAAUAUUCUCAUUAGUUUCACAAAGCAGAAUUGUAUCAUCCGCAAAUUGAAGAUAGAUAGCUGAUUUCCAAUUUAUCACUCAUCCUCUGUCGGCUAUUUUCCCUGUUACUGAAAGAGAGAAAAACAUGCAGCUAUGUGCAUCAGUUUUCAAGAUCUCUCAAUAUGGAAUAUGGACAACAUGGGAUCCACGUGCAAUGCCAGGUAUAGUACUAUAAUGUUAGCAUGAUUACUGCACUUUUUCAUGGUAAUGAAACUUACUAUUGUAUUUUGAUGAGGAAUUAAUGAAGGUACCUCUGUACGUUGCGACGAAAAUGGUGUCAAGGGUAGCAUCAAUUAAGCAAAAUUCGCUGUUCAUACCAACACCUGAAGGUUAUGCAAGAGCUGCAAUUCGUGCAAUUGGGUAUGAACCAAUUUCCACACCUUACUGGGCUCACUCAAUUCAGUGGUGCUUCGCUCGCUUAAUCCCUGAUCCGCUUCUUGAUGCUUGGCGCUUGUCCAUUGGUAUGCGUCGCAGGAAUUAUAUAAAGGGACAGAAGAACUAACUGAGAGCUUACCAUUAGCGCAGUGUUUGGGCAGAGCUAGAGCUUGGCUAAUGCAUAAGUUAGUGUUUGGUGUGUGCGUGUUUUGUAUAAAAGUUCCUUCUAACUUUUGUGAAAGUUGGUUAAUUUUAGAGUGAACCGUUUAAUAAUCAUAGUGUGGAAGUUCCAACUUCUUUUAUCCAUUAUGAACUAAAAUCUUUUCUCUCAUUCUUGUGUCUUAUUUUCAGAUAGAAAUCAUCUGUUGUUCAGUCUAGUUUUGAUGACUCUUUUUCAUGCUCUACCAAGUACCACCAUUAAAAUUAAAAUUGUGGUAACGUCAUUAAGCAUAUGCAAGUGGUGGAUUUGUGGUUGUACUCCUAACAGCCUAGAUUUAGAAGAAGAAAAAGAAAGAGUCCGGGAAAAAAAUCUAACCCAAAAAAGAAAACAAAAAACAAAUUGGGCAAAGAAAGGAAAAAAAAGGUUCCGCUUGAGUACAAGUUCAAGUAGAGUAUAAUAUGUAAUAAUUAUAACGACCAAUAUCACAUCCAAUAAGCAAUGAAUUAUAAAGAAAAUAUGAUAAUAAUUAGUAAUUAAUAAAUCAAUAAGUAGGAGAAAGAAAAGGUUAUAAUUUUGCCCUUAGGUUACACAUGAGUACUAGUAUUUAUACAAAAGUGUAGCUAACUAACUUAUAAUACAAGUAACAAACUCAGCAACUAACUAUAACUGACCACAACUAUUAUUCUCACCUAUGUUUUGACUUUUACUUGCUAUUUUCAUUCUGUAUUCUCAAAGAUCUCCUUGGAGCUAGUGUUGGUUUUGUGUUUCGACCAAGCUAGAGCUCAUGAUCCGAGUGUUUACUUUCACUCUCGUCCUCCAAGUCCCCCAAGUAUAUUUCACUCUCGAACCCUUGGGGCUUAUGUGUGAAAUAUCUAACAAGAAAAAUUGACGAGCGGGUGAUUUUUCUUUAUUCCCAGAAAUAAGAGUGUACUAAGAUAACAUAUAUUAAUAUCUCAACUCCAACCGUAGAAGACUAGACAACCAAUAAUCAGUAGAAAGGCACGACAUCCUACUACCCAUAUACUGACUUGAGUUGCUAACCCCAUACCAACUUUAGCACUAGCAGGAGUUACACAGGAGACUAGACUAGGUAUAACACAUAAGCCUGCAUUAUCACUAAAACUGCACCAUACAAGUGUAGAUUUAACAACUUAAUCGUAAAGAAAGUUAAGAAAUAACAUGGAGAUACAAUGAAAUCAUAAUUAAACUUGGGAUUUGGAAAAUCAGUCCUUCUAGAGUAGCAGGGACCCUUCAAGACAAGGAGUUGCCAUUAAGGUUCCUGCAUAAGUAUUUUUUUUAAUACAAACCUCUAGUUUUCUUAUUUGUCUUAUUCAAGUUCAAGUAGUCAUGGGCCUAUGAGAUUUAGGUUCACAUAAAAUGAGUAGGUUCCGCUUGAGUAAAGUUCAAGUAGAGUAUAAUAUGUAACAAUUAUAACGAUCAAUAUCACAUCCAAUAAGCAAUGAAUUGUAAAGAAAGUAGGAUAAUAAUUAUUAAUUAAUAAAUCAAUAAGUAGGAGAAAGAAAAGGUUAUAAUUUAGACCUUAGGUUACACAUGAGUACUAGUAUUUAUACAAGAGUGUAGCUAACUAACUUAUAAUACAAGUAACAAACUCAGCAACUAACUAUAACUGUCCACAACUAACUAUAACUGCCCACAACUAGUAUUCUCACCUAUGUUUUGACUUUUACUUGCUCUUUUGAUUCUGUAUUCUCAAAGAUCUCCUUGGAGCUAGUGUUGGUUUUGUGUUUCGACCAAGCUAGAGCUCAUGAUCCGAGUGUUUACUUUCACUCUCGUCCCCCAAGUAUAUUUCACUCUCGAACCCUUGGGGCUUAUGUGUGAAAUAUCUAACAAGAAAAAUUGACGAGCUGGUGAUUUUUCUUUAUUCCCAGAAAUAAGAGUGUACUAAGAUAACAUAUAUUAAUAUCUCAACUCCAACUGUAGAAGACUAGACAACCAAUAAUCAGUAGAAAGGCACGACAUCCUACUACCCAUAUACUGACUUGAGUUGCUAACCCCAUACCAACUUUAGCACUAGCAGGAGUUACACAGGAGACUAGACUAGGUAUAACACAUAAGUCUGCAUUAUCACUAAAACUGCACCAUACAAGUGUAGAUUUAACAACUUAAUCGUAAAGAAAGUUAAGAAAUAACAUGGAGAUACAAUGAAAUCAUAAUUAAACUUGGGAUUUGGAAAAUCAGUCCUUCUAGAGUAGCAGGGACCCUUCAAGACAAGGAGUUUCCAUUAAGGUUCCUGCAUAAGUAUUUUUUUUAAUACAAACCUCUAGUUUUCUUAUUUGUCUUAUUCAAGUUCAAGUAGUCAUAGGCCUAUGAGAUUUAGGUUCACAUAAAAUGAGCAGGUUUCGCUUGAGUAAAGUUCAAGUAGAGUAUAAUAUGUAACAAUUAUAACGACCAAUAUCACAUCCAAUAAGCAAUGAAUUGUAAAGAAAAUAGGAUAAUAAUUAUUAAUUAAUAAAUCAAUAAGUAGGAGAAAGAAAAGGUUAUAAUUUAGACCUUAGGUUACACAUGAGUACUAGUAUUUAUACAAGAGUGUAGCUAACUAACUUAUAAUACAAGUAACAAACUCAGCAACUAACUAUAACUGCCCACAACUAACUAUAACUGCCCACAACUAGUAUUCUCACCUAUGUUUUGACUUUUAAUUGCUCUUUUGAUUCUGUAUUCUCAAAGAUCUCCUUGGAGCUAGUGUUGGUUUUGUGUUUCGACCAAGCUAGAGCUCAUGAUCCGAGUGUUUACUUUCACUCUCGUCCCCCAAGUAUAUUUCACUCUCAUACCCUCGGUGCUUAUGUGUGAAAUAUCUAACAAGAAAAAUUGACGAGCGGGUGAUUUUUCUUUAUUCCCAGAAAGAGUGUACUAAGAUAACAUAGAUUAAUAUCUCACCUCCAACCGUAGAAGACUAGACAACCGAUAAUCAGUAGAAAGGCACGACAUCCUCCUACCCAUAUACUGACUUGAGCUGCUAACCCCAUACCAACUUUGGCACUAGCAGGAGUUACAAAGGAGACUAGACUAGGUAUAUCACAUAAGCCUGCAUUAUCACUAAAACUGCAUCAUACAAGUGUAGAUUUAACAACUUAAUCGUAAAGAAAGUUAAGAAAUAACAUGGAGAUACAGUGAAAUAAUACUUAAACUUGGGAUUUGGAAAAAUCAGUCCUUCUAGAGUAGCAGGGAUCCUUCAAGACAAGGAGUUGUCAUUAAGGUUCCUGCAUAAGUAUUUUUUUAAUACAAACCUCUAGUCUUCUUAUUUGUCUUAUUCAAGUUCAAGUAGUCAUAGGCCUAUGAGAUUUAGGUUCACAUAAAAUGAGCACACUGAGGUUCUGCUUAAGUACAAGUUCAAGUAGAGUAUAAUAUGUAACUAUUAUAACGACCAAUAUCACAUCCAAUAAGCAAUGAAUUAUAAAGAAAAUAGGAUAAUAAUUAGUAAUUAAUAAAUCAAUAAGUAGGAGAAAGAAAAAGUUAUAAUUUAGACCUUAGGUUACACAUGAGUACUAGUAUUUUUACAAGAGUGUAGCUAACUAACUUAUAAUACAAGUAACAAACUCAGCAACUAACUAUAACUGCCCACAACUAGUAUUCUCACCUAUGUUUUGACUUUUACUUGCUCCUUUGAUUGUGUAUUCUCAAAGAUCUCCUAGGAGCUAGUGUUGGUUUUGUUUUUCGACCAAGCUAGAGCUCCUGAUCCGAGUGUUUACUUUCACUCUCGUCCCCCAAGUAUAUUUCACUCUCGUACCCUUAGGGCUUAUAUGUGAAAUAUCUAUAAGAAAAAUUGAGGAACGGGUGAUUUUUCUUUAUUCCCAGAAAUAAGAGUGUACUUAGAUAACAUAUAUUAUUAUCUCACAUCCAACCGUAGAAGACUAGACAACCGAUAAUUAGUAGAAAGGCACGACAUCCUCCUAUUCAAGAUGUCCCUCUUUGCUAGAGAGGGCAGAAUAAAAUAGGAUUUCAAAGACUUGAGUUCUUGAUCAAUGCAGCAUAAAUAAACCAUAGAUUACAAAGUGUUAAACUAUUUAUCUUGCCUUUUUAAUUGUUCUUUUUAAUUGACCAUUCUCGUUCCUUAUGCUUAUUUUACUAUUACAACACAGAAACUUAUCUAGUAACCAAAUUCAUGAUGCAUUCCGGCUUCAAUUGGAACAAUAACUAUUUUACAAGUUUUAUAAGUGACUUCUUGUUCUCGCUCUUCUUAGUGUUAUAGUUUUGGAAAGUAACGAGAGAGUGAAAGAGAAGAUUUUUAGGGAAAUAAUAUUUUUUUGUUUAUAACUUGGAGCAAUACAUGUUUUAUAUAGAAAACAUAAAAGACCUAGCUGCGGUUGAAAACGCCGCAGAUUGCAUACUCCAUUUCGACUCUAUUUUACGGUGGUUUUAACCGCCGCUAGAUACUAAUUAUUUUUUCUUCAUGAUCGCUUCUAUUGCGAAUUAAUACAUAAAAGUUCAUUACUUUCAUAUAAUUUAACACAGCACAGUGCCUAUGACUAACAAAUUCCAAUUUCGACUGUAUAUAUAGGAGCAACCAUUUUCAUCUGAAGUUAAAUAAUGAAUAUACAAAGUUGGAGGCCUCAAACUCCUCAAAACAGAAUGCAAAACUGUUUAACAAAUUUACUAAUUUCGUCUAGACAUUUGCAUGUCAAAACUAGAAACAAAUUAUAACAAUCAAGUCUGUUAAUGACCACAAUUCAUUAGCAUACAAGUGAUCUUUCCUAUUUUUCUAAAAAAGACAUCAUCAUGAAUAGCAAGAACAAUUCUUGUUAGUGAAAAACAAAUUGCAUAGUUAUCAUGAUUAUUAAGUUGUGAUUGCCUAAUGUCCAUACAGCAAACCUGAAAGCAGAGUUGACAUUGUUACAAACACUGUAAGAUUGCUUGGACUUUUAACUUGAAUAAGACAAAUAAGAAGACUGGAGGUUUGUAUUAAAAAAAAUACUUAUGCAGGAACCUUAAUGGCAAAUUCUUGUCUGGAAGGGUCUAGAAGGACUGAUGUUUCCAAAUCCCAAGUUCAAGUAUGAUUUCAUUGUAUCUCCAUGUUAUUUUUUAACUUUCUUACGAUUAAUGUGUUAAAUCUACACUUGUAUGCUGCAAUUUUAGGGAUAAUGCAGGCUUAUGUGUUAUACCUAGUCUAGUCUCCUAUGUAACUCCUGCUUGUGCUAAAGUUGGUAUGAGGUUAGCAGCUCGAGUCAGUAUAUGGGUAGGAUGAUUUAUUGCCUUUCUACUGAUUAUUGGUUGUCUAGUCUUCUACGGUUGGAGAUUAGAUAUUAAUAUAUGUUAUCAUAGUACACUCUUAUUUCUGGGAAUAAGGAAAAAUCACCCGCUCGUCAAUUUUUCUUGUUAAAUAUUUCACACAUAAGCCCCAAGGGUACGAGAGUGAAAUACACUUGGGGGACUUGGGGGCGAGAGUGAAAGUGAACACUCGGAUCAUGAACUCUUGGUCAAAACACAAAACCAACAACAGCUCCACGGAGAUCUUUGAGAAUACAGAAUCAAAAGAGCAAAUAAAAGUCAAAACAUAGGUGAGAAUAGUAGUUGUGGUCAGUCAUAGUUAGUUAUUGAGUUUGUUACUUGUAUUACAAGUUAGUUAGCUACACUCUUGUAUAAAUACUAGUACUCAUGUGUAACCUAAGGUCUAGAUUAUAACCUUUUCUUUUUCCUACUUAUAGAUUUAUUAAUUACUAAUUAUUAUCAUAUUUUCUUUAUAAUUCAUUGCUUAUUGGAUGUAAUAUUGGUCGUUAUAAUUGUUACAUAUUAUACUCUACUUGAACUUGUACUCAAGCGAAACCUCAAUGUGCUCAUUUUAUGUGAACCUAAAUCUCAUAGGCCCAUGACUACUUUUUUUUCCUUUCUUAGCCCAAUUUGUGUUUUCUUUUCUUUUUUCGAUUAGAUUUUUUCCCGGGCUCUUUCUUUUUCUUCUUCUAGCCAAAUCACCCAAACACUUCUUUUGGUAACAGAGGAAUGAACACACUAACAGAAAACCAAACUUCAAUUAAUCUUUUCCUGAUUAUCCUCCUCCCUAUAACUUUUGGUUGGACACAAUCGACAUUGAUGAGAUAGCAAAAAAGAGAUUUUAAAGAAUGGAGGAAAUUUAUUGCAACUUUUUACCAAAUCAUAGGUACAUGACCAAAAUCUAGAUUCAAUUUUCUUCAAAUGCAUAAAGGUUACUACAAAAGAUACACGCCAGAAAAUAUUGUCAAAGUCAAAUCUGAAGAGGGUACUUCACUAUACUCAAUGUAUUCGGUCUGUCGAAGGUCAAACAAUUUAAAUGCAACUGUAUGACAAAAUUGAAAAUUAAAGUUUAUCAUGAAUCAUAGUCAAGUUGCAAACAGAUUCUACUUGCCACCAUUUCUAAAAAGUGCAAGUUGGAACUCCUUCGCCACAAUGAAGUAUUUAGCAUUUAUAAUUUCUAUUUUAUCAAAAUGUUACUAAAUUCUGAUGACAUCAGUAAUAUAAACAAGGCUUAAUUGCACAUUUAGUCCCCCACUUCUACACUUCCUACAAUUUUGGUCCCCAACAAAAUUUAAUUGCAUUUUAGGACCCCCAACGUUGUUCUCCGUUAGCAAUUUUGGUCUUCCGUCCAAUUUCUAGCGGAAAUGCUGACGUGGCAUUCAUAAAUAAUAUUUUAAUUGAAAAAAAUUAAUUUCCUUAAUUAAACUAUUUUCAUAUUGAAAAAAAAAAGAGAAAACGAAUCAAUGCAUCACAUCUUCUUCUUUCUUGUUUCUUCUUCUUAAUUACCCAACCACCAUCUUCAGCCUCAAGCCCUCAUUCACACACCACCAUCGCCACUCCCAUGUCACGACACUCCUCCUCCUCCUCUUCGUAUUCUUCUUCUUCUCACCACGCACCACCAUCCAAAUCGCCUCUACUUGGAACCCAAAUCGUCCUCUCAUAGCAUCAUCUUCUUGCAAAACCUUGAUGAUCAAAUCAGGUCCCAGAUCUUAAAGAUCACAACAUUGAGCAUUGUGUUGUGGGUCGGUGGAGCUCCAAUGAGAUUCGAAGAGCUGGUUCGACGAUGGCCUUUGCGGUGGCCAGAACCUUCGAUGGUGGUGUCACUGUCGUGGAGAAGAAUCCCGAUUUGAUUCAGAUGGAGGUGUGAUUCAGAUGAGGGUCAAAUGGGUUCUGAAAAAGUUUGAAGCUUUAGGGUGUGUUUGGAGAGUUUGAUGGCUGAAAUGGGUUGAAAAAAUGAUGAAUCUGAAUGUUAAUUUGUGCUUCAAAGGUUGAUCUAAAUGUUGGGUCGGUGGGGGGUGUUUUCGAUUGGUUAAGAUGGGGGUGGAGGGGUGGUGCGGUGGUUGAGUGGUGGUGGUGCUUGGGUGGUUGAGUGGUGGUGUUGUGGUGCGCAGGUGGUGGUUGAAUGGAAGAAGAUGAUGGGGUUUAUUUUCCUUUCCUUUUUUUUCAAUAAAGAAAAUAGUUUAAUUAAAGAAAUUAAUUUAUUUCAAUUAAAAUAUUAUUUAUGAAUGCCACAUCAGCAUUUCCGUUAGAAAUUGGACAGAAUUGGGACGGAAGACCAAAGUUGCUAAUGGAGAACAAUGUUGGCCGUUAAAAUAUAAUAUAAAACCAUUAAAGUGACCCUUACCCAACAGCUUAGCUUUUGGGAUUAAGUGGUUAUUUGAUUUGGUAUCAGAGCCUCUAUGACCGAGAGGUCUAGAGUUCGAUCCUUACUCCCCUCACUUUCUAAUUAAAAAGUGAAAUUUAAUUAAGCACAUGGUAGGUGGGCUUGUGCAUUUAUCCACGCUUCAAGCCCAAAGGCUCUUGCGUGAGGGGGGUGUUAGAAUAUAAUAUAAAAUCAUUAAAGUGACCCUUACCCAACAGCUUAAGCUCUUGGGAUUAAGUGGUUAUUUGACAUGUUGUUGGGGUUCUAAAAUGUAACUAAAUUUUGUUGGGGACUAAAAUUGUGAAAAAUGUAAAAGUGGGGGACCAAAUGUGCAAUUAAGCCUAUAAACAAAAUCAUGGCUAGUUGUAACACAUGAAAAAGUUAUAAUGUCAACAACAAAUUAAACACAUUGUAUCUACCAAAAGCAGUGCAAACUUUGAUUUUGUACCAAAACUUUACACAAUUAAGACUAAUAGUUUGAUCAUCGUAAUUUUUGUAAAACUUGUUCUAGGGAGAGAAGUUACCUUGGGGAUUUUGAAUUUAUUGUAGACAUCUUGAAGGACCUUGUUGUUCUGAAUCAUUUCCUACUCAUUACUACCACGAUUUGUUCAUAUUCCUUUGGCAUCAGUUUUGAAAAAGAGGGGAGAUAAUACCUAGAAUUUUAUUAAACAAAACCAUCAUAAAAAAUCUGAAAAGGACAAACAGAGAUUUACAAUAUCAAUGAGUAAUAUAGUAAACUGGGCAAAUGAUAAGAAUCCCUAAGAAUCAAGUAAAACACCUAAACUAGUAAAACCAAAUCCAUAUUUGAAUAAUAGUUGAGUAAUUCUAGUUUGUAUUCGAACCAGCCUUAGACUGUUUUUGAACUAAAACCCACAUUUUUUAUUAAUUGUCACAUUUGUUUACUAUUCUUUCUUAACGGGCUUACCAUUAUAUUUAUUAUUAGGAUAUUUAAGACACAAGUUUAAAGUGAUGGACAUUAGUGCUAUUGCUAUUUCCUAUGUAAACAAAAAAAAAAGUGAGAAUCAAUGACAUAUUUUUUCUUUGCAUUGAAAAAUGUGUGUUAUAACAAUUUUAGGAUAUAAUAACAACAUAUAAAUGUGAUAAAUUUCCUUAGAAAAACUAAUAAUCAAUAAUCAAUUAAAAGUACUAAAAGAAUAAAUUCAUUUUUUUAGGAGAAAGAUUUACGAAAAGAUCAAAUCUAAAACAUAAAAAAGCGUAAUAGUUAUUAGUGCGAAAGUUUCAUUGGAUGAAAUGCAAGGGAGAAAUAGGUUCUUAUAUUUUUCUUACACUUUGAAGAUUAAUUAGUUUAAUUUUUACUUUUUUUGUUAUAUAUAUAUAUAUUUCUACUAAACAUAAUUUAAUUUAUGUAUUGAAAUUCAGUCUCCAACUAUAACAAUUUUUUUUACUUGGUCCCCCAAAAUUUAUCUCCUGGUUCCGCCACUAGUCCACUACUAGUGGCCUUUACGUGUUACCGAAUUCUUCCACCGUUAGAAUGAAAAAAGUCAAAAAACUGAUCACCUAUGAACAAUGACUUUUGUGUAAAAAAAAAACAAUGACUUUUACUUUACAUUCAAUACAAGUUGACCACAUUUAUUUUGUUGUUUUUUACUUCAAUACUCAAUAGAGAAAACCCCCUGAAAUAUAUAAUUUGCAUUAUAUUAAACUCUACAUUAUAAUCAUAUUUGCAAGAAAGAGGGUCCAAAAAUUCUUAAUUAAUAAAGAAAGGAAAGCAAACAGUGGUAUUCAAAACGCAAGUUCUAAUUGUGACGUCCCUAAAAGUGUGGACGUAUGAUAACAGUUGGUUCAGGUGGUAUUUUUUUUAUAAGCAAAUCAAAUAUAGUAAUAGAAGUACAAUGAUACUUUAACUCAAUAUAAAAAGAAGAGUAGUAAGUGAGGAAGAAAUUACAACUCAAAUCCACUUUAGAGAUCCCCGGAGGCAAGACUUUUAAAAACAUGUCUCGUUAAAACCUUACAAGAAAAACCUCAUUGAAAAAAACAUUUUGAAAGAAAAAAAGAGUGAUGCUAACUUUACUCUUUAGAGUGAUUUCAGAGCUUAAUUCGAGAAAUAUAACACUCAAUGAGAGCUUGCCCAUAUCUAAUAUUUUCAUUUUUUUUGAUAAGCCAAAUGUGUAUUAUAAAUAGAGGUACAAGGGGUACCACAACCCAUAAUACAAAAUAGAGUGCACUACAAAUAGAGAAAAGUAAAAACAGGACAGCAACCAAAUAGAAAGCCAGACAUCAGGCAAAAAAACACAAAAUGAAAACAAAGCAGAAAGCUCUCAAUCAUUUGUAUUGUAUACCACCAAGUUCAUUCAAAAUGUCCAAAUGCCAACACAUCACCAUGCUGCUACCUUAGCAUCCGUUCCAGCAAAAUCCCCACUCUGCAACCACCUCAGAAUUUCGUAUUUCACAUACCAGCAACACAUAAGGAAGGAUGGGCAAACCAUUCAUAAAAAGAGCAGCUAAAGCCUUUUAGAUUAGCUUUAUUCCAUUGCCAAGAGCGCCGCUGAAUCAGAUCAAAAGUCCCAGACACAUCCACCAGUUUUCCUCUAAAAGCACAGUCAUUCCUGAGGAGCCAGAGGGACCAAAUAGUUGCCAACCAGAUUGAGAACAUACCUCUCUGUUGGUAUUUAUUUCUCCCAAAUUUAAAAUGGUUCAAGUGAUCGCGAGAGGACAAGUGGAUUACAACAGAACACCCAACCCAUCCAUAGCAGCGCUUCCACACUUCCCUGGAAAAAGAGCAAUCAAAGAGAAGAUGGAAACUUGUUUCAUCUACAUUUCUGCAGAAGAAACACUUAGCCUCACCAUGUGGAAGAGGGACCUGACGCCUCCUCAAGCAAACCAGAGAGGCAAUUCGAUCCAACAUAACCCUCCAAGCGAAUGCCUUCACCUUCUAAGGAGCAGAUGAAUUCCAGAUCACCAGGAGAAUUGGAUCUUGAGGGGGCAACGAUGGUUCCUGUAAGAAACAAUAAGAGGAUUGGACAGAAUAAUUCCCAUCAGCACUUGGAAGCCAUGUCCACUUAUCCGGAACACCUUGCUGGAGUUGAACAGUAGCAACAUCACGAAGCAAGGAUUGCUCCCACAACAGCUCACGGCCUCUAAGCGGACGACGCCACUUGAACUUCCAAUGCCAAGACCUGUUAAUCCACUCACCACAAUCACUCACACUUGCCAAUUUCAGGUAGGAAAGAUUAUACAAUCGAUGGUAUUUCGACACUAAGCUUUCAGCUCCAGCCCACGGUUCCCACCAAAAUGGAGUGUCAUUCCCUUCCUUAAUAGCUUUAGACGAGCCAGCAUCAAUCCAGCUAACUCCAUCCACCCUACAGGCAUCAUUCAGAUCACGCCACCAAGGUGAAGGCUGAGAACACGUACCUGAAAAAUAUUUUGCUUUAAUUACUCGGCACCAUAGGCUUUUCGGAUCAGUCCGCAGCCUCCAAAGCCACUUCCCAAGCAAAGAUUUAUUAAACAACUUCAGAUCUUUUAUUCCUAACCCUCCCACCUCCUUUGGCAUACAAAUUGAAUGCCAUUUGACCCAAGCAAUCUUACUAACAUCCUCCGAGCCACCCCACAGAAAACGUCUCAUAAUCCCUGAGCAAAUACUUUCAACACCUGCAGGCAGCUUGAGAAAAGAAAGGUAGAAUAGUGGCAAGGCUGAGAGCACGCUUUGGAUUAAACAGACCCUACCACCAAAUGAGAUAGUUUUAGAGCGCCAAGCUGAUAGCUUUCCCCUAAACUUCUUAAUAACCGGCUCCCAAGUCUCCUUACGGCUUGGGCAACCCCCAAUUGGGACUCCUAGGUAAGUAAAUGGUACAGUCAUCGUCCUGCACUGUAAAAUUGAAGCAAGCUGAUUAGAAACAGAUACCGGGACAGCAAUCGAGGCUAACUUACUUUUGUUGAAGUUAACUUUGAGGCCCGAGAUCAAUUCAAAACAUCUUAACACGCAUUUCAGCACCACCAUAUUCUGGACCGUCGCCUCUCCCACAAACACCGUGUCAUCAGCAAAUUGUAACAAAGACACUUCACAAUCAGCGGACCCACCAACCUUAUAGCCAACAAAUUUACUCAAAGCAACAGCAUUAAGAAACAGCCCAUUCAACCCUUCAGCUAUAAUCAAGAAGAGGAAAGGAGCAAUGGGGUCUCCUUGCCGGAUUCCCCUUUCCAUCCGAAACUCAGCACUUGGGCUUCCAUUCACUAAGACCGAUACUGAGGCAGACUGAAGGCAUCCAUGGAUCCAUUUAAUCCAACGAGGAUGGAAGCCCAUUCGUCUCAUCAUGUAAAAAAGGAACUCCCACUCCACCGAGUCGUAGGCUUUUUCAAAGUCUACCUUAAAGAUACUGGUUGCCCUUCGCUUAUACUUAGCUUCAUGGACAACUUCAUUAAGAACCACUGCACUAUCCAACAUAUGGCGACCUCCAAUGAAGGCAGAUUGUCGCUCAUCAAUAAUCUUCCCCAUAACAGGUUUCAGCCUAUUUGUCAGCAGCUUCGAGAUCACUUUGUAGAUACAUCCAAUAAGGGAUAUUGGCCUGAAAUCAUUAAGAGACUGAGGGGAAUUGAUUUUAGGAAUGAGAGCAAUAAAGGAUGCAUUGGAUCCUUUCGGCCAAACUCCACGCUGCCAAAACUCCUUAACAGUCUUCAGGAAAUCAACUUUUAGGACAGGCCAAAACUUCUGAACAAAUUUAAAGUUAAAGCCAUCGGGUCCUGGGCUUUUAUCACCCCCACAAUCCCACACGGCAUCCCUAACUUCACAGUCGCUGAAAGGUUCAAUCAAAGCUGAGUUAUCAGCAGCAGAAAGGGAUUUAAAUUGCACUCCAUCAAGAGUUGGACGAAUCCAAGAAUCUGACUUAAAUUUCUCAGCAAAAAAAUGGUGGACCGCUUCCUUCACCCUUGCUGGCUGAUCUUCCCAGAUACCAUCAACCAUCAAACCGACAAUAGAAUUGGCACGUCGCUUCCAAUUAAUCGUAGAAUGAAAGAAGCUGGUGUUCUGGUCACCUUCAGAAAUCCAUCUAGUCCGGGCCUUUUGAAACAGUAAGGAUUCAUGAUACCGCAGAACCAUCCAGAACUCAACCAUGAGUUCUCUCCUAUUAUAACAAAGGAGUUGUCUAAAUGACCCAAGAAAAAUUUGGGUUGAAUAACAUAUCAUCCAAUCACAUUGAAGAUAAGUGAGUUGGAAUUUUUAUAUUUUAUUUAUUAAUUUAUUUUCAACUCACUUAUCUCCAAUAUGAUUGAAUGAUGAGUUAUUUAACCGAAACUUCCUCAUAGGUCAUUUAGACAACCCCUAUAACAAAACAUGCACUCAGAUUAAGUUGUCGUAGUGCUAAAUCACUAAUGUGAAAUCUUAACCCUAGUAUUAAUAUUUAAUCACUUGUUUUCCGCUUUCUCUGGAGUCUUCUUAAAUCGCAACCACUAAGGCACUAACAAUGAACUACAGAGGAAACAACGACAACUCACUCGCAAUAUUCCAUUAAAAAUAUUCUGUUAUGUUACGUACUGUCUUAUGUUUCUUAAAAUAUAUGCUUGAGUUCUUCAACUUUGUAAUUAAAUAUUUGUGCUUUUCAAAUUACGUGCUAUAUUAUCCUCAUCUAAACAAAUUCACAAGCCUCAUGUGUUGGUCUGAGUGAAAGGAGCUCAGAUCUCUUAAACAUGUGGUCAAGCAUUGGUCCCUACUUUAAUACGUGACAUUCAUGUAGGAAAUUAAUCUUUCACCUAUUAAGUAGUGGAAGGAUACUAGAAAUCGGAAAAGAAUAAAAGAACAAAUUCACAGGCACAAUAAGCUUAUUUUGAAAGUAAAAAACUGCAUACUCCAUCAUCCACCACUAACGUAGCAUUCAACUUGUUCAAACAACAAAACAAUGUACACACUUAAUUUAUAAGAUCCAUUCAAAUUUACCCAGAACACAUAACUAAAGAAAGAAGAGAGAGGGAAUAACCACCGUUUGAUAAAGGGAAAAUAAAAAGAAAAGAAAAAGUAAAAACAGAGAGGGAGAGAAAGUAGUUACAAACGGUUAACGAUUUGUUUGCAGUUUAUGUUUCUUUCGAAACGCAACCUCCGUGUCCAAUCCGAAACCAUCAACGGUGCGGACAUGAACCAAAACUGAUUUGUUAAAAAGCUCUACGAGAGGCUGCACGCUGUAGAGGUCGUUAGCGGAGUACUUAUCGGCGCGACGCGAAAGCGCCACGUGCAGCACGCACACACCGUCAGGCUUCAACGUGCGUUCAAUCUCUGCUACAAACCGCUGUGGGUACAAUGCGUGAUCAAACACGUUGGAGAAUUCAAAAUCAAACAUCUCAUCACCAAACGGUUGGUGGUGAAAGUCACCCUUCACCACCAAUGGCGGGUAGGGGACCAAGUCGAUUCCUACAGAAUCAACCACACCUACCCGCCGUAGGGCCUCCACCUCCUGACCCACGCGUGCGCCAAUGCAGAGGGCCUUGGAGGUGUUUUGUAGAAGGCUCUUGUCCUUGAGGUCUUCGAAGAACCGCGCAAAGACGGGGAUCUUCCGGUUCCAGUCGCGGGUGGUCCAUAUCUUUCGGAGCCUUGGGUUGAGGGUCUUGUUGAGCUGGCGUUGUAUGUAGGUCUCGUAGGAGGUGUAACCGGGUCGGAUUGUGAGAUCUUUUGUUGUGGAAUGAGAAUGUUGAGGUUGUUGUUGUUGUUGUGGAGAGAAUAGAUGGAGGAAGAGGAAAGGGAGGGACAGGAAGAGUGAGAUGAGGAAGCAUCUUAGGAUGAAUGGUUUUGUGAGCGUGAGUUUCAUAUCCGUGUAAAAUGCUUAUGGUUGAUGAUGUAGUUAUGCUCAGUUUGCAUUGUUAUUUUGGUUUUUGUGUUUUGGAUGGUGUGGGAGAAAUGGGGGCCAUGAAAAGUUCUGGAAACAGAAAUUUGAAACACAAAAAUGAGAGAGAAGAAAAACUAAACCAAUAUAAUGAAACGAAAUUUCAGUGAAUUAAAGCGGAAAAAGGUGAUAGAUAGUUAGAUACGUCGUUUGUGAUGAUUAUUAUGAAAAUUGGCAAAGAAGGAAGUACGCGUGGUGCGCAGUGCGCGCAUGCAAAGAAUCAAGGUGGCACUAUUUUUGUGUGUAUACUGUAUAAGCUUCAUUUUGCGUUGUGAAUUUGUUAACUUUAAGCCUCACUUUUCCGUACAUCGAUUGAUAGCAUGUAGAAUAAUACGAAUUCACGUUGAUUACAGAGCGCUUUAACGGGUAGGAGGGAAAAGAAAAAGGGAUUAAUUAAAUAAAAGUAUUAAUGGGUCCAAACUGAGCCAGCAAAUUAAGUGAUAAAUGGUUGGACAAAGCCAUGAUUAUAGGGAGAGUGAGGAGAAGUAAGGAACAAGUCAAAGUGAAAUUAAUCAACGUGAUCAUGGUUAUAUAAGGUUGCCGUCCCAUUCAAAUAAUAUAAAAAACUAAAAAGGUUAAUCAAUAUUUUUUUUUUUGAGUAAAGGUUAAUCAAUAUAUUGAAAACAUAUUAACCAAAAAAAAAAUAUUGAAAACAUAUGUGUUUAGCUGUUUGACCGCUAUUGUUAUUGUGGAUUUCUAAACCAUCAAUUUUUUUUUUAAAUGCACCGUAGAUUGUGAUGGUAAAAAACCAUCACAUCUACUAAAUUGCCUUAAAGGCUUAAAUUAUCAUAUAUCGGAUGAAUUUCGCUCCAUCUUUAUGUUCACUAAAUAUUACCAAAUUUUAUACAGUGAAUAUUGACAGGCUGAACAAAAAUUGGAAUAGGGACACUCCAAUGCAAGGGAAAGUAUCAAAUAUGAUCAUGUGAGGUCAAAUUAAACUUGACUUAUUAGGGCAGAAACUACAUGCAUGUGAUUACAAAAUUCCAAUGAAUAUGUUCAAGCUGCAUGCAUGACUCUUCUGAUAGGUUCGCCAAUCACCAUGCAUAUAUAUGUUGCAUCGUUACAGUUAUUACAGUUACAUUCAUUGGUUAUCUGCGGCCAUAGCAAUGGGAUCAGUAUCUCACCCAAUCUUUAAUCGGCACUCCUCCCAAUCUUGCCAUGAACGAAGCAAGAUUUUGUAAUCUUCUAGUUUAACCUUUGUUUGGACUGAAAAAUGUAAAAGAAGAAAAACACGAAAUCUGAAAAAAUAAAACUAAAACUUAUUAUUUGAAAAACAAAACGAGAAAAGGAAAUCUUACACCCAAGCAAUUAAAAUAGUUUUGUAAUUUCAAAUUUUUGAAUUUUCCUCUUUUACAUUUUAAUUUUAAUGUUCAGUACAAUUCCAUCCCCCGACAUCUAACAAUCUAAUUUUCAAUUAAAAAGAUUUGUUAUUUCGCAUUUGUAAGUUUCCCUCUUUUACAUUUUAAUUGAGUAAAUACUAAAUAGGUAAUUCAGUCCUGAAUUUUUUUUGGUGCUUAUUAGUCUUUGGGAAAAAAAAACUUUGUAAGUCCACGAAUGCGUAAAUUGCCACUAACAUACAUUAGUAAAAGUAACCAAGAAGUAUAUUUGGGCACUUACUCCACUACAACAAAUCGCGUAAUUAUUGACGGUCAAAAAACCGUUACAAAAAAUCUCACUUUACUUGUUCUUCUAAUAUGCCAAAAACUAGGCUUCGUUGGGCUAGCUUUCUAAGGCUCAAGUCUCUUAAACGUACUUUGAGCCUGAAUUUGACAUAUUAGUCUGAAAUAAGACAUUUUUACGGUAUAGUAUGACCCAUUUUAAAGUUCGGUCAGCUUAAAAACCUACUUAAAAUGUUAAUUUAUAAUGAGUAUUCAAAUGAACAAUAAGUUUUUCUCUAAAUUGACAAACAUGUUAUAGGUUCAAAAGUCUUUUGAAAAUGGCCCAAAUCUGACUUUUUUUUUAGUUAAAUGUUCUUUAUAAAAAAAAUAUAGGUUAUGUUUAUUUAGUUGAGAUGUUUUUGCUGUGUUCACCUAAUCAUCUUCAUGACCCAGGCCUUGGUCGCUUUGGUCUUGGUAUUGGAUAAAUGGACUUUUGAACCAAAAAAAAAGAUAAAUGGACUAUUUUCAGGCGUUGAAUGCUGAAGUUUAAACCUAGCCCGUUACACUUGCUCUUGAAAUGAAUAACAGAACCCAAAAAUCUUGACCCUUCAUGUGGUAAAUUUUCUCAUUAAUUGUGACAGAACACACACAAAAACAUUGAUUCACCUUGAAUUACAUAUAUUUCUCUUUCUUAAACUCACCUAAUUACUUUAAAUCAUAUCAUAAUUAAGACCCUCCCUAUAUAUGAAGUGAAGGGGCCUAAGUAAAGAUUGUCACACAUUCUCAUAAAAGAGUCAUACAUGUAUAUAGUAAAGAUGUUGAAAUACCACAAAUUCAACAAACAAUACUAACUAUGUCAUUUUUGUUCCCACAAAACGAGCACAUUCCCAUUAUAAUCAAACUAAAAAGGGUUAGACACCAAUGGUUUUCCUCACACUUCGCAUCACCUUGUAUCCUAUAAGAACCCUUCCUUGCAAAAUCUUAAUCUCCGCAUCCACCACAAUAUCAACCCUUUCCUUGCAGCGUUUCUCUAUCUCUCUUGUUGUAGCUAGAGAAAAACUGCACGCGCCUCUCAUCCUUAUAACAAACAAAACCAAAAAUAUUUUCUAUCAGAAUGGCACGUGCACGCUAUGUUGUGGUUCUUGCCUUUGUCAUGUUCGCCAUCAUUGGCAUCGCACGUGCCGCCGAGGCACCCUCCACCAACGAGUCCGACUACGAAGAAGAUGACACUGAGUUCAUGAUCGGAACUAAGGGUGGCGACGCUCCUUCACCCGGCACUGUUGUCGCCGCUCCCAUCGGUGGGCCCGUGCCUCCCGGUGCCUUCGACAAUGCUAAUGCUCAGGCUGAGGCACCCGCUUCCGCCGCCUCUUCCCUCCACCAAGUUUCAGCUGUUGCCGGAGCUGCCACCGCCGCUCUCGCCGGCUUCUUCUACUUCUAAUUGAUUCUGAUCGUUUGGUUCAGCAAUGCAUGCUAAGAUAGAGAGGAAUAGGAUUAAUGUUUAUAUCUGUUUCUUCUCGAUCGCACGUGCAUGCGUGUUGUUUUUUUAAUUUGGACAUGUAAUCGUCAAGUUUGUUUGGUUAUGAAACCCAACUAAUCAACGAUUUUUUUCAUGCUAAUAUAUAUGAUCAUGCUUGAAUAAAAGAAGCUUAAUUGAUAAUAACUACUCAGUUUUUAACGUUGAGAGUUGUUUAUGGUACCUUAUUUUUGUUUAGAUUUAGAAUAAAGCUUCAAACAUCAUUGGACACACACGUUGAAGCUUAAUUUGUUUAGUUGGGAAACACCGUUUUAGAAAGUCAAAUAUAACA